CGUGGCUACGGUGUGUAUAUUUAGGGCUGCUAAUGCGUGAUGCAAAGUCUAAACAGCUGUAACUUUACAUAAAAAAACAAAACGAAUGAUACAUUUCUAAUCGGACACGCCAUGUGAAUAUAUUUGCAUUUGCUGUGUGUUCGGACUUUUACAUCUAAAUAAUCAUGUUUCCGUACGUGUCGCGAGCGGCGGUGUCUUCCCCGCACGCCAGCCGGCCAGAGUGACGCCCUGCUCGGCCAGCCUGCCGUCACUCCUCCGCUGACUGCGGCUCGCGGUCCCGCGAGGAAAACGGCAAAUAACGGUAAAUGGACCUUCGAGGAGCUCAGUGGACAAGUGGUGCUGGCAGAGAUGAAUUGCUGCACAGAUGUUUCUGGAUUCUGAGUCAUGGGGAAGGCAAAAUAACUGUCAAAGGAUCUACGAGAAAAG